rnacentral:lncRNA from 1 species
CGCUGAUUCUCUCUUUUCGGAACCUACAGAUGCUGGCAUCACUCAGACACCCAGGCACAAGGUGACACAGAAAGGACAAACAGUAACUCUGAGAUGUGAACCACAUUCAAACCAUGACACCAUUUUCUGGUACAGACAGACUAUGGUGCAGGGGCUGGAGCUGCUGGUUUACUUUAACAACAAGCUUCUUGUGGAUGAUUCAGGUAUGCCCAAGGACCGAUUCUCGGCUGCCAUGCCUGAGGCCUCCUUCUCCACCAUGAAGAUCCAGCCCACAGCACCUGGGGACUCAGCCGUGUACCUCUGUGCCAGCAGCUUAGCCACAGCGCUGCAGAAC